rnacentral:misc_RNA from 1 species
UCUUGCUUUUCAAGUCAGGUAAUCCCAUACCCAACCCUUGAACCCCCGUUGGAAGUGAAGGAAAUGAUUCUUGUCUCUUGCUCUCCUUAUUACCACCCCCUUCUCCACUCCUUUGAGAAGAAGGAGCUAGGUUAAGAUCCUGGAAAUCAUCAAGAGCACUGUCAAGGAGUUCGUCUAAAUCGUCGUGGUGGUCAGCCAUGAUUGGACCUAUCUGUCUUCCUCUUUCUGAGCUCCGAAGAAGAAAAGGUAUCCGAAUACUUGGAUUGAGAAAAGAAAGGGAUUGAAGUGAGGAGCGAUAGAGAGACAAGCCAAAAUUUUGGCGACGUUAGAAAGCGGUGAAACCCAGGGAAAAACGAUCCAAUGAUUCUG